rnacentral:tRNA from 1 species
GGGCCCGUAGCUCAGCCAGGUAGAGCGCCCGGCUCAUAACCGGGCGGUCCGGGGUUCGAAUCCCCGCGGGCCCA